GUAGGAUGCAAGCGUUAUCCGGAAUUAUUGGGCGUAAAGAGUUCGUAGGGCGGUUUGUUAAGUUGGAUGUUAAAUCUUUGAGCUCAACUCAAACACGGUAUCCAAAACUGGCAAGCUAGAGACUGGUAGAGGUAAGUGGAAUUCUGCAUGUAGGGGUAAUAUCCGUAGAUAUGCAGAGGAACACCAAAAGCGAAGGCAGCUUACUGGACCAGUUCUGACGCUCAAGAACGAAAGCGUGGGUAGCGAACGGGAUUAGAUACCCCGGUAGUCCACGCCCUAAACUUUGAACACUAGGUGUUGGAGGCUUCGACCCCUUCAGUGCCGACGCUAACGCAUUAAGUGUUCCGCCUGGGUAGUACGAGCGCAAAGCUUAA
rnacentral:rRNA from 1 species